UAAUACGUAGGGUGCGAACGUUGUUCGGAAUCACUGGGCAUAAAGGGCGCGUAGGCGGUCCAUUAAGUCCUUUGUGAAAGCCCCCGGCUCAACCGGGGAAUUGCAGGGGAUACUGUUGGGCUUGAGUGCAGGAGGGGAGAGCGGAAUUCCUGGUGGAGCGGUGAAAUGCGUAGAUAUCAGGAGGAACGCCGGUGGCGAAAGCGGCUCUCUGGUCUGUUACUGACGCUGAGGCGCGAAAGCUAGGGGAGCAAACGGGAUUAGAUACCCCGGUAGUCCUAGCCCUAAACGAUGGGUACUAAGUAGAGGGGACUCCGAUGUUCUCUCUGCCGGAGCUAAUGUAUUAAGUACCCCGCCUGGGGAGUAUGGUCGCAAGGCUA
rnacentral:rRNA from 1 species